AGUGAACGCUGGCGGUAGGCCUAACACAUGCAAGUCGAGCGGCUGCAAGGAGCUUGCUCCUUGUUUCAGCGGCGGACGGGUGAGUAAUGCCUAAGAAUCUGCCUGGUUGUUGGUUAGAACGUCCUAAAACGGGCGCUAAUACCGCAUAAGUCCUUACGACGUACGUGUGGGAGCUUGGGAUCUCCGGCCCUCGCGUGAUCCUAUGUCGGAUUAGCUAGUUGGUGGGGUAAAGGCGUACCUAGGCGACGAGCCGUAACUGGUUCGAUAGGAUGGAAGGGCAAAAUGGAACUGAGACACCGUACAGACUCCUACGGGAGGACGCAGUGGGGAAUAUUGGACAAUGGGGGAAAGCCUGAUCCAACCAUGCCGGGUGUGUUGAGAAGGUCUUCCGAUUGUAAAACCCUUUAAGUUGGGAGGAAGGGCAGUAAGUUUAUACCUUGCUGUUUUGACGGUAACAAAAGGAUAAGCCACCGCUAAAUUCCUG
rnacentral:rRNA from 1 species